AUUGAACGCUGGCGGUAGGUUUUAUCCAUGCAAGUCGAGCGGUAACAGACAUUUUGAUUCAGCUUGCUGAAUCUAGUGCUGACGAGCGGCGAACUGGUGAGUAACGCGUAGGAAUCUGCCCAGUAGCGGGGGAUAGCCCGAGGAAACUCGGAUUAAUACCGCAUACGCCCUAAGGGGGAAAGGGGGCAUCUUUGAUGCUCUUACUAUUGGAGGAGCCUGCGUAAGAUUAGCUUGUUGGUAGGGUAAAGGCCUACCAAGGCGACGAUCUUUAGCUGGUCUGAGAGGACGAUCAGCCACAUUGGGACUGAGACACGGCCCAGACGUCUACGGACGGCAGCAGGAGAGAAUAUUGGACAAUGAGGGAAACCUUGAUCCAGCCAUACCGCGUGUGUGAAGAAGGCCUUAGGGUUGUAAAGCACUUUAAGCGAUGAAGAAGAAAAGUAAGUUAAUACCUUACUUUUUUGACGUUACCCGCAGAAUAAGUACCGGCUAACUCCGUGCCAGCAGCCGCGGUAAUACGGAGGGUACAAGCGUUAAUCGGAAUUACUGGGCGUAAAGCGCGCGUAGGCGGUUAAGUAAGUUGGAUGUGAAAGCCCCGGGCUCAACCUGGGAACUGCAUUCAAAACUAUUUAACUAGAGUACGAGAGAGGAGAGUAGAAUUUCUGGUGUAGCGGUGAAAUGCGUAGAUAUCAGAAGGAAUACCAAUGGCGAAGGCAGCUCUCUGGCUCGUCACUGACGCUAAGGUGCGGAAGCGUGGGUAGCAAACAGGAUUAGAUACCCUGGUAGUCCACGCCGUAAACGAUGAGAACUAGCCGUUGGGGAGAAUUAACUCUUCAGUGGCGCAGCUGACGCAUUAAGUUCUCCGCCUGGGGACUACGGCCGCAAGGCUAAAACUCAAAUGAAUUGACGGGGGCCCGCACAAGCGGUGGAUCACGUGGUUUAAUUCGAUGCAACGCGAAGAACCUUACCUACCCUUGAAAUCCAGCGAAGUUCCUAGAGAUAGGAAUGUGCCUUCGGGAACGCUGUGACAGGUGUUGCAUGGCUGUCGUCAGCUCGUGUCGUGAGAUGUAUGGUUAAGUCCAGUAACGAGCGCAACCCCUAUCCUUAUUUGCCAGCGCAUAAUGGCGGGAACUAUAAGGAGACUGCCGGUCAUAAACCGGAGGAAGGCGGGGACGACGUCAAGUCAUCAUGGCCCUUAUGGGUAGGGCUACACACGUGAUACAAUGGGUGGUACAGAGGGUCGCCAAAGCGCGAGCUGGAGCCAAACCCUUAAAACCAUUCUUAGUCCGGAUUGGAGUCUGCAACUCGACUCCAUGAAGUCGGAAUCGCUAGUAAUCGCGAAUCAGAAUGUCGCGGUGAAUACGUUCUCGGGCCUUGUACACACCGCCCGUCACGUCAUGGAAGUGGGUUGCACCAGAAGUGGCUUGUUUAACCUUCGGGAAAACGGUCACCACGGUGUGAUUCACAACUGGGACGAAGUCGUAACAAGGUAGCCCUAGGGGAACCUGGGGCUGGAUCACCUCCUUAAAAAAUAAUCGCUUAGGAUAGGCGUUCACGCGAAUUACUUGUUUUCACCUAAAUCAUCUCUUUAGAGAUUUGAGAGUACGGAGCGUUCUUUAACAUUUUUAUAAGUUCAAUCAAGUCACAUCAUAGUUUCUUUAUUUUUUUAAUUUAGAUAUGAAUGAUGUGCAAAUGUCACCAAACCCGUCAUGUUUUAGAACAUAAGUUUGGUGUACAUACUGCAAAGUAAUUUUGGCGAAUGACAAUAGAUACUUGAAGAACAUUAAUCAUUAAGUUGUUUGAUGUAAUAUGGUCAAGUAAAUAAGCGCAUACGGUGGAUGCCUUGGCAGCUAGAGGCGAUGAAGGACGUAGUAACUUGCGAUAAGCUUCGGGGAGCCGGUAAACAGGCUUUGAUCCGAAGAUUU
rnacentral:rRNA from 1 species